UGCGGCUCAGUCAUUGGCUGAGCGCGCAGGCUGUACAGUGAGUGAAGGGAAGAAGGAAGAUGUCCCUGGCAGCGUGGAGGCAGAGGAUCUCGCUCUCCUGUGCCUGUGUCACAGCAGCCUAACAAGUAACAAGCGUAUCCCGGCAACACUCCCCCACGCCCCUGGAUGACGGCAGAGUGAGCGGGUAUCCGGUCAUGUGAUUGUAUCCGAGACCGGAAGCCUGGAUCCCGGAAGCCGAGCAGAGGCGCGGUGAGGACGGCCAGGGAGGCGUCAGGCGAUGAUGCAGACCCACACUCUGAAUGGAUAGAAAUCUGAAGAGGAUAUUCAUCUCAGAUACGGAUAGCCUCUAAUGGAAGAAUGAGAUUGUUCUUCAAAAGUGUAAUACUAUGCAAAGAGCUUUCUAUGCUUGCUGCCCUUCCUUG